CGUAGGGUGCAGGCGUUAAUCGGAAUUACUGGGCGUAAAGCGUGCGCAGGCGGUUUUUUAAGUCAGAUGUGAAAUCCCCGGGCUUAACCUGGGAACUGCGUUUGAAACUGGAAAGCUUGAGUGCGGCAGAGGGGGGUGGAAUUCCACGUGUAGCAGUGAAAUGCGUAGAGAUGUGGAGGAACACCGAUGGCGAAGGCAGCCCCCUGGGUCGACACUGACGCUCAUGCACGAAAGCGUGGGGAGCAAACAGGAUUAGAUACCCUGGUAGUCCACGCCCUAAACUAUGUCAACUGGUUGUCGGGGAAGCAAUUCCUUGGUAACGAAGCUAACGCGUGAAGUUGACCGCCUGGGGAGUACGGCCGCAAGGUUA
rnacentral:rRNA from 1 species